rnacentral:tRNA from 1 species
GGCCUCGUGGCCCAAUGGCAAGGCGUCUGACUACGAUCGAAAAUAAAGCUGACAGCUGUUAUCAGCUGCAGAUCACGUCAUCUAUCAGGAGAUUCUGGGUUCGACCCCCAGCGAGGUCA